AUCACACAAGACACAACAACAACAAUGAACAACAUCAUCAUCCUCAUCUGGACUCUCACACUGUUUGCUCAAGAGAGUAGAGGACAGAUCACUGUAACUCAGAGUCCAUCAAAAACAGCAGCUCAACCAGGACAAGAAGUCAGAAUAAACUGUAAAACCAGCAGUAAUGUCUACAGUGAUAGUUAUGGGUCACGUAUGGCCUGGUAUUUACAGAAACCUGGAGAAGCUCCUAAACUCCUCAUAUAUCUUGCAUCAACCCGUUUCACUGGAACUCCAUCUAGAUUCAGUGGCAGUGGAUCUAACAGUGAUUUCACUCUGACCAUCAGUGGAGUCCAGACUGAAGAUACAGGAGAUUAUUACUGUCAGAGUUUACACUCUAUUAGUGGUAGCUGGGUGUUCACACAGUGAUAAAGAGUCGUACAAAAACCUCCGUCAGUCAGAGUCACAGUGACUGCACUGAUACAGCUGAGAGAUACUGCAGCUGCUGAUGGAUGUGAAUCAUCUCAGUCACUCUUGUCUGUAGAUCAUUACAUUUCAAUGCAGAAAAUUAAAUGAUCUAUUAGCAGAAACCAAACAUUUCCAUUCAUAAGUUGCAUCA